rnacentral:rRNA from 1 species
CAGCCGCCGCGGUAAUACGGAGGGGGCUAGCGUUGUUCGGAAUUACUGGGCGUAAAGCGCACGUAGGCGGCUUGGUAAGUUAGAGGUGAAAGCCCGGAGCUCAACUCCGGAAUUGCCUUUAAGACUGCCGAGCUAGCAGGUGAGAGAGGUAAGUGGAAUUCCGAGUGUAGAGGUGAAAUUCGUAGAUAUUCGGAAGAACACCAGUGGCGAAGGCGGCUUACUGGCUCAUACUGGACGCUGAGGUGCGAAAGCGUGGGGAGCAAACAAGAUUAGAGACCCCGGUAGUCCCUGUCUCUUAUAC